AUCUACACAUGUUGCAGCACAUGGACUCCAGAGGCUCAGAUGUGAUUCAUCCCAGUCACAGAACCUCAGGGUGUGACCUUAGAUAAGAGAUGGUAUCUUUCUGAUCUCCCAACUGCUGGGCGUGGGGAGCCCACAGAAACUGGGACAGAAGGAAGUGAUCUGUGAGGCUGGACUGAGCUCUCAUUUACAGAGAAUCAGUCACUGAGUGGGAAGAGAAGAGCGAAAGACUAAAGACAAAUUUAAACCUUGGUAUGUUGAAGAAUGAUACUACAAUUUCCUAAUUCUAUACAAAUGUCUCUUCCAAGCCAGCAAGAUGGCUCAGUGGGCAAAGUGGCUCACUGCUGAAGCGGAUGACCUGAGUUUGAUUCCCAGACCUAUGUAAAGGUGGAUGGAGAGACUACACAAAGUUGUUCUCUGACCUUCAUCGGUGUCCCGUGACAUGUGCAUGUGAGCAUACAGUUUGAAAAACAAAAUAAUUCUUAAUUUCCCAGAACUUAGAUUCAGCCUUCCAGCCACCACCAUUACAAUUCUCUUAUAGAUGAUAACUGAGGUAACAUUGUUCUUUCUUUUACCUUCAACGGUGAAGGGUAGGAAAUGAAAAGGGGGGCAGAAAACAGAAAUGAAGACAGAGAUGGAGAAAACUGACCAAACUUGGGGGAGAAGAAAAGUGCAUGGUGCUGGAGAGCCCUAAAAGAUUGCCCUGUCCAACCUUCUUUCUGAACAUGAACAAAGUGGCCUGUCUGGAAACACUGUCUCCUAACAUCUGGGAGGGAUCUUUGUAAGAUCAACAAUACAGAACUCUUAGGAGUGACCCAGAGAAGGCACAUGGCCAGGCUGCAAAGCUGGGCCUUUGCUUUGGAACACUCAUUCUUAAUGUGUGGUCAUGUGUUCAUCUAUUUG
rnacentral:lncRNA from 1 species